CAAUAGCGUAUAUUAAAGUUGUUGCAGUUAAAAGCUCGUAGUUGGAUUUCUGGCAGGAGCGACCGGUCCGCCGCAAGGUGUGCACUAGGUUGUCUCCAGUCAUCUUUGUGGGAACUGCUCUGGCAUUAGGUUGUCGGGGUUAGGGAACACAUCGUUUACUGUGAAAAAUUAGAGUGUUUAAAGCAGGCUUAUGCCGUUGAAUACAUUAGCAUGGAAUAAUAAGAUAGGACUUUGGUGGUCUAUUUUGUUGGUUUGCACACCAAGGUAAUGAUUAAUAGGGAUAGUUGGGGGUAUUCGUAUUUAAUUGUCAGAGGUGAAAUUCUCAGAUUCAUGUAAGACCAACUCAUGCGAAAGCAUUCACCAAGGAUGUCUUCUUUAAUCAAGAACGAAAGUAGGGGGAUCGAAGACGAUUAGAUACCAU
rnacentral:rRNA from 1 species